rnacentral:rRNA from 1 species
ACCGGUUUAUGGGGUGAGUAACACGUAUGCAACCUGCCCCUGUCAGGGGGACAACCCGCCGAAAGGCGGGCUAAACCCGCGUACAUGCCACCGGGGCAUCCCGGAGGCAGGAAAGGCUUCGGCCGGACAGGGAUGGGCAUGCGGCGCAUUAGGCAGUAGGCGGGGUAACGGCCCACCUAACCGACGAUGCGUAGGGGUUCUGAGAGGAAGGUCCCCCACACUGGUACUGAGACACGGACCAGACUCCUACGGGAGGCAGCAGUGAGGAAUAUUGUUUNUUANUCGGGAGACUGAACCAGCCAAGCCGCGUGAGGGAGGAAGGUACAGAGUAUCGUAAACCUCUUUUGUCAAGGAACAAAGACUGGGACGCGUCCCCGGAUGAGUGUACCUGAAGAAAAAGCAUCGGCUAACUCCGUGCCAGCAGCCGCGGUAAUACGGAGGAUGCGAGCGUUGUCCGGAUUUAUUGGGUUUAAAGGGUGCGUAGGCGGUCCGUUAAGUCAGCGGUAAAAUUGCGGGGCUCAACCCCGUCGAGCCGUUGAAACUGGCAGACUUGAGUUGGCGAGAAGUACGCGGAAUGCGCGGUGUAGCGGUGAAAUGCAUAGAUAUCGCGCAGAACUCCGAUUGCGAAGGCAGCGUACCGGCGCCAGACUGACGCUGAGGCACGAAAGCGUGGGGAUCGAACAGGAUUAGAUACCCUGGUA